rnacentral:rRNA from 1 species
AAGUCGUAACAAGGUCUCGUAGGUGAACCUGCGGAGGGAUCAUUACCGAGAGAGGGCGCCUCGCGCGCCGCCUCCCACCUUUGCGAACGUACGCGUUGCUCGGGGUGGCCUAGCCGCCCCGAGGACGUUCCACCAAACCCUGCGUCUGGCGUCGGAGUAUGAUUUGAUCAUCAAACUUUACAACGGAUCUCUUGGUUCUGGCAUCGAUUGAAGAACGCAGCGGAACUGGCGAUAAGUAAUGUGGAAUUGGCAGAUUCAGUGAUCAUCGAUCUUUUGACACCUUGCGCCCUGGAUUCAGGGGGCAUGCCCGUUCGAGCGUCUUACACACUCAAGCCUGCUUGGUAUUGGGCGGCGGGGACCCCCGGCGCUCCAUGUGUCCGGCUGGACGGUUGAAUUCAGCGUUUGUGAUCAUUCGCUGGCGGGGACGACCGGACGCGCGUUAAACGUUUCAUCACAGGUUGACCUCGGUCGGGUAGGGAUACCCGCUGACUUAA